AGAUCUCAUUGGGCGUAAAGCGUGCGCAGGCGGUUUUGUAAGACAGAGGUGAAAUCCCCGGGCUCAACCUGGGAACUGCCUUUGUGACUGCAAGGCUGGAGUGCGGCAGAGGGGGAUGGAAUUCCGCGUGUAGCAGUGAAAUGCGUAGAUAUGCGGAGGAACACCGAUGGCGAAGGCAAUCCCCUGGGCCUGCACUGACGCUCAUGCACGAAAGCGUGGGGAGCAAACA
rnacentral:rRNA from 1 species